rnacentral:miRNA from 1 species
UUAUCUGGUAUUUCAGAAUAAUUUUAUCCAAUAGUUGUGACUACAGUUAGAAUGUACAAAACUACUAAAUUGCCUACUAAUAAUUACAUAUAAAGUUGCUAUUUUGCCAGCUAUGCUGUCCAAAGUUAGAGAAUUUUGACAUAGAACACUGCUAAA